CGGCGCUUGAGGCUUCUGCCUCAGGUUGCUGGCAACAGUGUCAGUGGAUGUGAGGCAGAAUGCAGAAAGCCCCGACGUUAAUUUUCCAAUUAACCCCGAGGCCCCUGUAUGACCACACAUCAUCAGGAUAGCCUCUUACCUGCCGCAAGGCAAGGAGAUGCCGACCAUG
rnacentral:antisense_RNA from 1 species